ensembl:lncRNA
CUAGAUCCACUGUCUGACUAGAUCCGCUAUCUGACUAGAUCUGUAACGUCUAGAUCCACUGUCUGACUAGAUCUGCUAUCUGACUAGAUCUGUAACGUCUAGAUCCACUGUCUGACUAGAUCCGCUAUCUGACUAGAUCUGUAACGUCUAGAUCCACUAUCUGACUAGAUCUGUAACGUCUAGAUCCACUAUCUGACUAGAUCUGUAACGUCUAGAUCCACUGUCUGACUAGAUCCGCUAUCUGACUAGAUCUGUAACGUCUAGAUCCACUGUCUGACUAGAUCCCCUAUCUGACUAGAUCUGUAACGACUAGAUCCACUGUCUGACUAGAUCCGCUAUCUGACUAGAUCUGUAACGUCUAGAUCCACUGUCUGACUAGAUAUGCUAUCUGACUAGAUCUGUAACGACUAGAUCUGCUGUGUGGCUGUAAAGACGUGGUAUGCAGCAUCACACGGUCACAGUACUUACCAGUUACUGAAUUCAUCUCAAUAUAGAGGCCAUUUGUCAUUUAGCUUAAACUGAUAAAUUAUAAAAUGUUAAUAUAUUUAUAUAGCUGUGUGUACAGGAUGUGUUCAUGCACACAGUCACCCACAUACAUACAUACAUACAUACAUACAUACAUACAUACAUACAUACAUACAUACAUACAUACAUACAUACAUACAUACAUACAUACAUAUACACCCAUAAAUACACACAAAGUCAUACUUAAAGCAGGAUCACUUAAUGUCAAUCAAAUAAUCGUACAUGGAUUCAAACGUGUUCCAACACACUUAAACACACACAUAUACAUACGCUCUCUCUCUCACACACACACAGUACAUUAGACCACCACUCGGACUGAUUGCUUAUUGAGGAACAUGUUUAGGAGUUAAAGGGAUAUGGAAGCACUUGGCAGGGUGACAUGGCAGAGGAGG